rnacentral:tRNA from 2 species
AGUAAAGUCAGCUAAAUAAGCUCCUGGGCCCAUACCCCUAAAAUGUUGGUUAAAAUCCUUCCUUUACUA